rnacentral:rRNA from 1 species
GGCGGACGGGUGAGUAACACGCGGGUAACCUGCCUGUAAGAUUGGGAUAACUCCGGGAAACCGGAGCUAAUACCGGAUAACAUUUUGAACCGCAUGGUUCAAAAUUGAAAGAUGGUUUCGGCUAUCACUUACAGAUGGACCCGCGGCGCAUUAGCUAGUUGGUGAGGUAACGGCUCACCAAGGCAACGAUGCGUAGCCGACCUGAGAGGGUGAUCGGCCACACUGGGACUGAGACACGGCCCAGACUCCUACGGGAGGCAGCAGUAGGGAAUCUUCCGCAAUGGACGAAAGUCUGACGGAGCAACGCCGCGUGAACGAUGAAGGCCUUCGGGUCGUAAAGUUCUGUUGUUAGGGAAGAACAAGUACCAGAGUAACUGCUGGUACCUUGACGGUACCUAACCAGAAAGCCACGGCUAACUACGUGCCAGCAGCCGCGGUAAUACGUAGGUGGCAAGCGUUGUCCGGAAUUAUUGGGCGUAAAGCGCGCGCAGGUGGUUUCUUAAGUCUGAUGUGAAAGCCCACGGCUCAACCGUGGAGGGUCAUUGGAAACUGGGGAACUUGAGUGCAGAAGAGGAAAGUGGAAUUCCAAGUGUAGCGGUGAAAUGCGUAGAGAUUUGGAGGAACACCAGUGGCGAAGGCGACU